CAGCCCCGUACACAAAAGCGUAUGUGCUGUGAGCUCGAUGAGUAGGGCGGGACACGUGGUAUCCUGUCUGAAUAUGGGGGGACCAUCCUCCAAGGCUAAAUACUCCUGACUGACCGAUAGUGAACCAGUACCGUGAGGGAAAGGCGAAAAGAACCCCGGCGAGGGGAGUGAAAAAGAACCUGAAACCGUGUACGUACAAGCAGUGGGAGCCCCACCACUAAGCCAGUGGUGAACUCCACAUACGCAUCCUUUGCUGAGGAUACGGUUAACGGAGCGAAAGCGACGUUCAACCGCAAAAGAAGCAGAGGGGGCUUAGUGGUGGGGUGACUGCGUACCUUUUGUAUAAUGGGUCAGCGACUUAUAUUCUGUAGCAAGGUUAACCGAAUAGGGGAGCCGGAGGGAAACCGAGUCUUAACCGGGCGUUAAGUUGCAGGGUA
rnacentral:rRNA from 1 species